rnacentral:snoRNA from 1 species
UUCCGGACUGAUAACUGGAUGGUCUGCUCGGGUAGUGUUUAUCACUACGAAAUUCUCAGUCCCAAACUGUCUUUUAAGUGUUCGGAAUAACGAUUAGUUUGAAAAUUCUCAUCAUACGGUUCUGAAUUCAUCGAUAUUCUUAACCAUUUGCUUUUUCUCACGACAU